rnacentral:misc_RNA from 1 species
GAUGAAGAACGCAGCGAAAUGCGAUAAGUAAUGUGAAUUGCAGAAUUCAGUGAAUCAUCGAAUCUUUGAACGCACAUUGCGCCCGCCAGUAUUCUGGCGGGCAUGCCUGUCCGAGCGUCAUUUCAACCCUCGAACCCCUCCGGGGGGUCGGCGUUGGGGAUCGGGAACCCCUAAGACGGGAUCCCGGCCCCGAAAUACAGUGGCGGUCUCGCCGCAGCCUCUCCUGCGCAGUAGUUUGCACAACUCGCACCGGGAGCGCGGCGCGUCCACGUCCGUAAAACACCCAACUUUCUGAAAUGUUGACCUCGGAUCAGGUAGGAAUACCCGCUGAACUUAAGCAUAUCAAUAAGCGGAGGA